GAUGAACGCUGGCGGCGUGCCUAAUACAUGCAAGUCGAGCGAACAGACGAGGAGCUUGCUCCUCUGACGUUAGCGGCGGACGGGUGAGUAACACGUGGAUAACCUACCUAUAAGACUGGGAUAACUUCGGGAAACCGGAGCUAAUACCGGAUAAUAUAUUGAACCGCAUGGUUCAAUAGUGAAAGACGGUUUUGCUGUCACUUAUAGAUGGAUCCGUGCCGCAUUAGCUAGUUGGUAAGGUAACGGCUUACCAAGGCAACGAUGCGUAGCCGACCUGAGAGGGUGAUCGGCCACACUGGAACUGAGACACGGUCCAGACUCCUACGGGAGGCAGCAGUAGGGAAUCUUCCGCAAAGGGCGAAAGCUUGACGGAGCAACGCCGCGUGAGUGAUGAAGGUCUUCGGAUCGUAAAACUCUGUUAUUAGGGAAGAACAAAUGUGUAAGUAACUAUGCACGUCUUGACGGUACCUAAUCAGAAAGCCACGGCUAACUACGUG
rnacentral:rRNA from 1 species